rnacentral:rRNA from 1 species
AUUGAACGCUGGCGGUAGGCCUAACACAUGCCAGUCGAACGGCAGCACAGUAAGAGCUUGCUCUUACGGGUGGCGAGUGGCGGGCGGGUGAGGAAUACAUCGGAAUCUACUUUUUCGUGGGGGAUAACGUAGGGACACUUACGCUAAUACCGCAUACGACCUACGGGUGAAAGCAGGGGAUCUUCGGACCUUGCGCGAUUGAAUGAGCCGAUGUCGGAUUAGCUAGUUGGCGGGGUAAAGGCCCACCAAGGCGACGAUCCGUAGCUGGUCUGAGAGGAUGAUCAGCCACACUGGAACUGAGACACGGUCCAGACUCCUACGGGAGGCAGCAGUGGGGAAUAUUGGACAAUGGGCGCAAGCCUGAUCCAGCCAUGCCGCGUGGGUGAAGAAGGCCUUCGGGUUGUAAAGCACUUUUAUUGGGGAAGAAAAGCAGCAGGUUAAUACCUCGCUGUUCUGACGGUACCCAAAGAAUAAGCACCGGCUAACUUCGUG